AAUAGUUUUAUGCCAUAUCAGCAUUCUCAUCCUGAAUUUCAGUAUUUUCAUCUUGAAAAAAAUCAAAUCCAAAUUAAAUUCCUGAAAUUCAGGAUAAGAAUAUUGAUGUGGCAUAAAACUAUU
rfam:Gossypium hirsutum cultivar TM-1 chromosome 2, whole genome shotgun sequence